rnacentral:rRNA from 1 species
UACGGGGGGAGCAAGCGUUGUUCGGAUUUACUGGGCGUAAAGGGCGCGUAGGCGGUCAGCACAAGUCAGUGGUGAAAUCUCCAGGCUUAACUUGGAAACUGCCAUUGAUACUAUCAAUCUUGAAUACCGUGGAGGUCAGCGGAAUAUGUCAUGUAGCGGUGAAAUGCUUAGAUAUGACAUAGAACACCAAUUGCGAAGGCAGCUGGCUACACGAAUAUUGACACUGAUGCACGAAAGCGUGGGGAUCAAACAGG